AUCUACGGCCACACCACUCUGAAUAUGACCUAUCUUGUCUGACCUCAGAAGCUAAGCAGGAUUGGACCUGGUUAGUACUUGGAUGGGAAGAAACUCAAGCACCCUAUC
rnacentral:rRNA from 1 species